GCCUAACACAUGCAAGUCGAGCGGCAGCGCGAUUAGUAGCAAUACUAAUUGGCGGCGAGCGGCGGACGGGUGAGUAACACGUAGGAACCUGCCCAGAAGUGGGGGAUAACUAAUGGAAACGUUAGCUAAUACCGCAUACAUUCGGGAGAAGAAAGCUGCAGCAAUGUAGCGCUUUUGGAGGGGCCGGCGUCCGAUUAGCUAGUUGGUAAGGUAAUGGCUUACCAAGGCGAUGAUCGGUAACUGGUCUGAGAGGACGACCAGUCACACUGGGACUGAGACACGGCCCAGACUCCUACGGGAGGCAGCAGUGGGGAAUCUUGGACAAUGGGGGAAACCCUGAUCCAGCGAUGCCGCGUGAGUGAAGAAGGCCCUCGGGUCGUAAAGCUCUUUAGGCUGGGAAGAAGGUUGGUUGAGGAAAUGCGACUGACUUGACGGUACCAGCAGAAUAAGCACCGGCAAACUCUGUGCCAGCAGCCGCCGUAA
rnacentral:rRNA from 1 species